rnacentral:sRNA from 1 species
UGGACGAAGUUCACGCUUUGUGCCUUGC